rnacentral:lncRNA from 1 species
AGACAUUAUAGAACUAAGGUAGGGAGAAAAUAAGGGAAAUUUAUCAGGUUUUUUCCCUUGUUUGCUCACAACAAAAGCUGAAAUUUGCAGACUGUUUUGUUUUCUUCUUGUGACGGCCCCACCUCCCCCUAGGGCGUACCAAAGGGUUUGGCGGACCGCCUGCCCAGCUCUCGUCGGGACUCACUCAAGCACUACAGUUCUCAAAUAAAUUACAAGAUAAAACUCAAACAAGUACAAGUCAACUAAAAUCGAGACACUAAAACAAGUACAAGUUCACUCGUCUAUAAUCGAAACACUAAACACCUUCCCGAGCGAUCCCCGCGUCGGCUCCCUGCUAAGGAAAACAAAAGGAAAGGGGUAAGCUAUAUGCUUAGUAAGUAAACAGGGGCAAAAGCGUAAAUCUCAUGUAACAACAGUUACUCAGUAAGAGUAAAGCAAAAGCAGAAAAAUAACAUCACAUAAUAAGGAUACGGGUGGCUCCAAAUCCAAUUCAUGUGCCAUGUAUGAUCUCCUGCCGACACUCCGUCGACCACAAAUAAUGGUCCGUAGAACUCCACUUGUUCUCCCACCGUACACCUUAUCACCCUCUCUGGCCAGUCACCUCACAAACUUGCCCGGGUGAACGAAAUCACAAACUUGAGCUUGAGUCACAAGCUCGGGUCACAAACUUGGUCCACAUAAUCGGUGAACCGGAUUCACAAACUUGGUGACCUCAAUCCAGGUUGGACUGACUUCGACCAAACCCUAACAGGCUCGAAUAGUCCAUCUAGGUAUUGAGAUCGGGCCCCAAACUCACAAACUUCACAAAAUUUCUCAAAAGUCACCCCGAGCCACAAGCUCAAGGGUUUUAGUUCCAAAAUUGCUCAUAUACACAAGCCAUGUACAAAUAUGUGCGUAAGUUAGGGUUUAGGUCGAGUGCGAUAAAGUACACCCUCGCCUAGGUACCCUCUUCAUAUAUAUCGCAACACAUAAGCAACUAACACACAAGAGCGGCCUGAAUACUUACCCAACGAACAAGGAUAACAAAAGGACAAAAUUCACGUCGCGAAAAGUAGCUAGUAGGCCCCACCGGCUCCACCUAGCUCACCACCGUCUGAAAUAGAAGAUUGUGUCACAAUAUAUCACAAACGGCUACUAACAUACUUAAAACAAGCAAAACGGCAAAAGCCGACACACUCAAGUACGGAAACGGCAAAAUUGGCACAUGCAAGUGCACGGAACGGCAAAAGGAAACGGCCAAAUCUGCCAUCUCAAACCGAUUUGAUCAAAGAUUAGGCUAGAAAUGUCGGAUCAAAGUGAGAAAGAUACCGUUUCGAAGCUAUGAGAAAGAGCUACAAAUCUCAUGAAGACACUUUAAUCUAGAUCUGAAUGGAAGCAGGUCGAAAUUGUGGAAAACAGUACCAGAAAUUUACGUCUUAGGGUGACGAACAGGGUUGUUCGCUGGACCAUAACUCCCAGCUCCCAAAUCCAAAUCAGGAAAUUCCGAAGGCAUUAGAAAGCUGAGACAUAAGGCUAAAACUUGGAUGUUUUGGCCAAGACCUGAAUCCACUCAUAACAGAAUGAAAUUUGAGUGUCAAAGUACCCGUCAGAACUGUCCACAUACAAAGCAGUUCUGACGAUCAAUAUUAUUUUGGUCAUAACAAGAGCUACGGAACUCGGAUUUCGACGUACUUUAUACCGUUUUGAAGCUGAGACCAAGAUCUAAAUUUCUUAUGAAGGGAUCAGCACCCAGUUCGUACGGGAUCAAAACGGAAAAAUGCACGGUCAGAGGCUAACUUCAAAACGCAGCACAAACUAAUGUCAAAAACAGGCCUGAGUGUUUUGUCUAUAACUCAGGAUACACUAAUCCGUUUGACCUAAAAUUUUACAGGAAUAUUCAGGACUUAAGGGGCUACAAUGUUGAAGAAGACCACUCAAUCUAGUUUCGAGUGUAACUAGGUCAAAAAUGUAAUAUACUACACCAAAACCGCAAUAACAGAUUCACAAAACGCAUUCUGACGUAAACAUCAUAAAACAGGCUACCGAAGUUCAAAUCAAGUAAUUCCAAAGCCAUACGAAAGCUAAGAUACAGGGCUACAUUUCAUCAGAAGACCUCAACAAUCAAAUCCGAAGCAUUCCAACCCAAAAUAACCAAUUACAGUCGCAGUUCUCAGGUUCGGGUAGAAACAGGACAGCAAGGGUAAUUUCGACUUUUAUCAUGCUACGCUACUCUGAUUGACCUGAAAUGUUGCAGGCACCUCUAAAAUGUCAUUCCCUACAACUUUCAUGUUUUAAGCCAAGGCCAAUUCGGCCUCUAACAUAGGGCUACAAAACCGGACAGAAAGGGGAACAAAUUUUCCAGAUUCUGGAAUUUUUGGUCUUCAAUGAAACUUUCUCAAAUUUCUUGUUCCAAUCACUACCAAAGCCCCUUAUAUAACCUUAUAUACAACAUAUACUAACUAUACAACAAGUUUAGGCAGAAAAUUAUUAAACCCUAACUUGCAUAUCUCAUCCAAUAAUCAUCACAACUACUUGCACAUCUUGAAAUCAAGCCAAAACUUAAGCUAAAUAACAUCUUAAAGCAAGAUUUAAAAGAUCAAGGACCAUGAUCAGAUUUAGUACCUCAAAAACAAAGCUUGGAAGAGUGAUACUCCACUUCCUUUGAAAAUUUCUAGUUCCUCUAGCUUCCCAACUCACAAUUAGCACUUUAACCGGUUUGGAAAUUUGAUUUGUCACUUGGAUUGCUAAGAUUCAAGAAGAAGAAAGUUGUUCUUGUUCUCUCUUUUCUCUCUCUCUUUGGUCGGCUAUGGAGCAGAAAUAAUGAAGGGAAAGUGCAGAAAAUUGGUUUAAGAAGGUUAGUUACUCACUUGGCCAAGAAACUCUAGGAUGGCGACAAGUGUCGCCACCUCCACCUUUCAUUUUUCUCUUUCUUUCCUUGCUAUUUCUAGCCUCUAAUUUUCGGUCAAACAAGCUGACAAUUAAGAGGAUAUUUUGCUCAAAUAUCAAUAAACUUGUAUGGUAAGAAAGUGGUGGUCAAUUGGUGCGUUCAAUCGGUAGUGCGCGGGACCCGCCGGUUCGCGCCGUUUUUCUUAAAAACACAUGUACUAGGGUUUUUACUUCCCAUUCACUAACUUUAUAUCAUUGCUCCUAAUCACAUAUUAUUUCCCACUUAAAAGUCACUUUUAAUCACCAAAUUUGAUCCUUGCUCCAUACCGAAAAUUCAUCCGGCGGAAAAUUGCGAAAACCCUCAUUUUGCUCCAAUGUUGAAAACGAAGAGUGAAACCCUACUUUCUAGGUUUAUCUGCACUUAUUGUGGAAUAAUUGGGUAGGAGGCUUUAAUAAAUAAUAAUUUUCAAAUAAAAGGCAUUUUUGAGGAAAAACAUAAGAAAUUUGCGGGUCCUCACACUUCUCCCUCGGUUUCUCAAAGGCAAAUGCUCCAAUGUUUCUCCCUCAAUGUAGCUGGUUUGGACACCAAGAAGCCGCAUUGUCUUCCUCACUCUCAACUCUCUUUCUUGUUUUGAAUUGGUAAGAGUAAAUGGUUUAACUCUCUCCCUCACUCUCUCUCGGUUGCUGGCUGGAAGAUUAAGGAACCAGAAAUGUUUUCUCUCUCUCUCCCUCGGUCAAGAAUUGUUUUGCAUGUCAAGGGUCAAAUAAGGUCAUGUUAGCUUGGUUUAGUAGUUGGACAAAUGUCCACCUCAAGCUAAGUGUCAAAUGGCUGAAUAGAUAAAAUUUUAAACCAUGCACUUUCAUUCCAUCUCACUAUUACCCCACUAGUUUCUUGUCUAAUUUGUAUUAAAUUUCAUGAACGUGAAUCAUGCAUGAAUUUAAAAUAUUCUAGUACACUUAAGUAUAAGGUAAUCAAUUAAAUAUUUCAUGUAGUCAACAAUCCAACAAGAUUGCACGUUCAAAAUUUCUAAUGAUAGUGUAUGCAAUUAGGUAUAAAAUUCAAGCUCUCACACUCUUCCCUUUUUAAAAAAAUUUUGUCCUCAAAAUUUCUACCAUUAUUCACAAAACUUCGGGAUGUUUCUUCAAAUUGAUCAUAGCCUGUUUUACACUAACUGUCGGGUAGGAGUAUCCCAAUAAUAUCACCCGUUGCAAUAGAACUAUCAAGUCAUGACUUCGAUAUUAGUCUGUCCUUACUUGUAAACUUAUGAGAUGAUAAAUAGAUCAAACUUGUGACGAUCUCACCUCUUCCAAGGGCGUACCCUAAGGUAUCAGUGGACCACCUACCCAGCUCUCGUCAAGAGUCGUUUUCAAACCACAAAAUCAAAUCCAAUAUCCAAUCUUACCACAAAAUACGCUAAAUACAACUAAUGUAUCCAGUUGUUUGUCGAAGCAACUUAAAAUGCAAAAAAAAGAAUUUAAGUUUUCAAUUCAUAUUCAAAAUAAUGUAGUACCCUAAUCACUUAAUUUAAUUAAAAUAAAAGUUAAGUGCUAAUUUCCCGAAUGACGAACCAACCCUACUAAGGAAAACAAAAGGAAAGGUAUGAGAUUGCGCCCAGUGAGGUCUAAGAAAGACAUGCAAUUUAAGAAAGCAAUAAUUUCACAUUUUAAGUCAACAAGAGGCAUCAUAUAAGCACAUCAUUAAGGAUAUUGAGCACUGGCAAACACUUGAUCAAUCAGUAAUUCAAGUAGGUGACACUCUUUCAACUUUCAUGGCCAUGUAGAAUCUCCACUUCACACCACUCCGUCCACCUUUCACCCACUACCGGGCCCACACACAAUGAAUGGUAUCACUCGAGUAUACCCAGAAUAGUAUGGAUCCAACAUAAAUACAUUACCCAAGGUUCACUAAUCGAGUUGACUAAGCCCUUGCCGGCUCAACCUCGAAUAACUAGCCAUUGAGUUUUGGGGCCCCCACAUAUCAUUGAUAUCAUAUCACAUUCACUUAUAGCAAUAACAAUUCAGUAGGGUCGAGUGCGAUAAAAUACACACUCGCCUGUUCAUAAACAAGUUCAAAAGAACGACAGUUCACAGCCAUAUCAUUUUCUCAAACUUAUUAACAUAUCAAACAUUUGUAUAGUGCUACCAUGCACUUAAACACUCACCAAAUAGCACUUAAGCGUCUACAGAAGGAUCACCUACACGCUUAGAUUGCAGCCCUGGCAAACAAUUACAACAUAUAAGUGAACCCCUAGUGUUUACCAAAUCAAUUUACUUAAGCAUGAAAACUUUGUUUACAAAUUAGUCGACUUUAGUGUCCUAGACACUUCAACCCAUUCAAGCUUUCAAAUCGGCAAUUCAAGUAAAAUACAACUUUCCAUUAGGGCAAAAGCAUUUCAAAAGUUUGAACAAGGCUUUUCACUCAUACAAGUUUUUGAACAAACAAAUCAUAGCAAAAGUCUACUUUUUCAAUUACUUACUUUCGUAGUUUUUGUCCCAAAAUCAUUUCACAAACCAGGAUCAGAGUUUAAUAAGGUUUCUUGAACUAGAUCAACCAAAACUUUAUUAAAACAAGGAUUCAAAGUCAAAUCACUCCAUAAAGUUGUCAAUCACUAAACUUUGGAGGAAAUCUUACUUUCCCCUUUUUUUAACUUCAAAAUUUUGAUCCAAAAUCAUUAUACAUACCAAAAUCAAAGUCCAAUAGAACCUUUUGAACUAAAUUCCACCAAAACUAGUUUUUAAAUAGAAAAUUAAAAUUGGAGUUUUUGUCUCACAAAUUUGGCCAACUUAGACAAAUUUUUCCAACUUUUGCAACUUUACAUUUUUCCAACUAGAUAACCUACAUCACCACUUCAUUUUCUUACAAAUUUUCAACAUAAUCCAACCAACAUAUAUAGAAUCAAGUAGCAUCAAAUUUCCUAAAAAAAUUCCAGCACAAGUGUACAAACAAGCCACAAAUUCACGGAAGGUAAAGAUGAAAAUUUGCCCAUGAUAAUUGGCCACCUAAACAGAAAUUUCAGCAUAUAUAUACUUCAAUUUUCACCAACAAUCCACCAUAAAUCACACUCAAAUUCUCAUGGAUUUCGUCGAUCAUUAAUACUAGGAUCUCAAGAGACAAGAAUCCACCAAAUUCUAGCCAAAUAUAUCAAGAUCUAAACAUACCAAGAUCAUUAAAGCACCUAGUACCAAAUUUCUAUAAGACUUUCAAACCCACCAUGGGUUUUCCAUAAUUACCAUAGAUCUACCAAGAUCUAGUCCAAAAUUACUUGAAAAGCAAAAGAAUGAAGUAGAUUAGCCACUUACCUCUUCAAAACUCCAAUCUUUAGCAAAAUUAACCCAAGAAGAUGGCAAGAUCUACUCCUAGGAGCGUUUUCCUUCAAGAUCUUCCAAAUGUUCAAGUAGUUUGGUGAAAGAGAAGUUUGGUU